UACGUGAAACCGUUUAGGGGUAAACCUGAGAAACCCGAAAGUUCGAAAGAGGAGAUUCAGCGUGUCUCGGCGUGCGCGAGUGCCGCUUGGUGACGAUUGUCGUUCGCGAUAGUUUCGCUCCUUGCGUUGCGCCGCUGCGUGUCGAAUGCGUGCACUUCUCCUCCUGUAGGACGUCGCGACCCGUUGGGUGUCGGUCUGCGGCUCGCGGUGGAGCCCGUACGUCGGUUUCGGCCGUGCGUGCGGACCCGUGGUGUCCUGGCCGACUGCUCGACGGUAGCAUGAAGGCGCAAAGCCGCGACUAGCUCGCGUUCGACCUAGCGCAAGCGCGUUCGGUUAUUCGUUAUUCGGACUUGUGCCGAUCUCGAAGCCGAGCGGCUGUUGGCGUUGGUGUUCCCGGACAGACUUUGUACACGCCUGUCAGCGGCGCUAUAGCUUUGGGUACUUUCAGGACCCGUCUUGAAACACGGACCAAGGAGUCUAGCAUGUGCGCGAGUCAUUGGGACUAUCGAAUCCUAAAGGCGAAAUGAAAGUGAAUGUAAAACCUAGUUUUGCAGAGGGAAGAUGGGCAGCAUGAGUUGCCUCGCACUCCCGGGGCGUCUCGUUCUCAUUGCGAGAUGAGGCGCACCUUGAGCGUACAUGCUGGGAACCGAAAGAUGGUGAACUAUGCCUGGUCAGGACGA
rnacentral:rRNA from 1 species